rnacentral:rRNA from 1 species
UACGAAGGGGGCUAGCGUUGCUCGGAAUCACUGGGCGUAAAGGGUGCGUAGGCGGGGCUUUAAGUCAGGGGUGAAAUCCUGGAGCUCAACUCCAGAACUGCCUUUGAUACUGAAGAUCUUGAGUUCGGGAGAGGUGAGUGGAACUGCGAGUGUAGAGGUGAAAUUCGUAGAUAUCGGGAGGAACACCAGUGGCGAAGGCGGCGAUCUGGGAAGAUACUGACGCUGAGGUGCGAAAGCGUGGGGAGCAAACAGG